CUGAAACUGUUCCAUAAUGUUUAAUAUUACAUGUAUAAGGUUUGGACUCAUUUUGGGGGUUAUGGUGCUUACAGUUUAGGUUAACUUUGGUUAAGCUAUUUCUAUUUUCCACUCUUUUAUGAGACAUAAAUAAAGAACAAGAGGUGCAUAUCAUUUCAUUCUGACACAUGAAUUUAGUUUCCCGACUUUUGAAAAUUGUUUAUUUCUUAGUAAAUUCACUAAUUUUAAAUAAUAGCACCAAAUAUAUUCAAAUAAUUCCACGGCGAUUUAUUUUUAUUUGUCACUCUUGUUUUAUAAUCCACUGAUCCGAAUAGACAGUCACACCUGGCAAGGUGUGCCCUAGAGGCCUGGUUAAAUACCGAAGUGCAAAUAACAAUUUACCUUUAGACAAGCCUUCUACGAGUAUUGCCACAGAACCGUGAAUACACACAUCGUCAUAGUCAUAGCGGAGAUAGUUAAAGGUCAAUAAGAGUACACGAAAAUAUUGUCUUUACAGAUAAAUGUACUUAAAUUAGUCCGAAAAAGCAUUAAUUAAAAACAAUAUAUAACUUUUUGUGUUGUCUACAAAAAUAAGUGGAUUGGGAAAUAAGUUUUGCAACUAAUAUUAAUCCCUUUCCACGUUGCGGGUGCGAGUGCUGCCUUGUAGCGGCAUUAGCCUGCUCUUUUU
rnacentral:lncRNA from 1 species